GCCCUGGUGGUGGAAUUGGUAGACACGCAGGACUUAAAAUCCUGUACUCAUUUGAGUGUACGGGUUCAAGUCCCGUCUGGGGUA
rnacentral:tRNA from 1 species